UGAACGCUAGCGACAGGCCUAACACAUGCAAGUCAGGGGCAGCACAGGAGCAAUCUGAGGUGGCGACCGGCGCACGGGUGAGUAACACGUAUGCAACCUGCCUGUAAGCGGGGAAUAACCCGUUGAAAGACGGACUAAUACCGCAUAAUACUAAAUUACUGCAUGGUAAUUUAUUUAAACAUUUAUGGCUUACAGAUGGGCAUGCGCAUGAUUAGCUAGUUGGAGAGGUAACGGCUCCCCAAGGCAACGAUCAUUAGGGGUUCUGAGAGGAAGGUCCCCCACACUGGUACUGAGACACGGACCAGACUCCUACGGGAGGCAGCAGUGAGGAAUAUUGGUCAAUGGACGAGAGUCUGAACCAGCCAAGUCGCGUGCAGGAAGAAUUGUCCUAUGGAUUGUAAACUGCUUUUGCAGGGGAAUAAAGUGCAUCACGUGUGAUGUUUUGUAUGUACUCUGCAAAUAAGGAUCGGCUAACUCCGUGCCAGCCGCCGC
rnacentral:rRNA from 1 species